GAUGAACGCUGGCGGCGUGCCUAAUACAUGCAAGUCGAGCGAACAGACGAGGAGCUUGCUCCUCUGACGUUAGCGGCGGACGGGUGAGUAACACGUGGAUAACCUACUUAUAAGACUGGGAUAACUUCGGAAAACCGGAGCUAAUACCGGAUAAUAUAUUGAACCGCAUGGUUCAAUAGUGAAAGACGGUUUUGCUGUCACUUAUAGAUGGAUCCGCGCCGCAUUAGAUAGUUGGUAAGGUAACGGCUUACCAAGGCAACGAUGCGUAGCCGACCUGAGAGGGUGAUCGGCCACACUGGAACUGAGACACGGUCCAGACGCCUACGGGAGGCAGCAGUAGGGAAUCUGCCGCAAUGGGCGAAAGCUUGACGGAGCAACGCCGCGUGAGUGAUGAAGGUCUUCGGAUCGUAAAACUCUGUUAUUAGGGAAGAACAAAUGUGUAAGUAACUAGGCACGUCUUGACGGUACCUAAUCAGAAAGCCACGGCUAACUACGUG
rnacentral:rRNA from 1 species